AUUGAACGCUGGCGGCAGGCCUGACACAUGCAAGUCGAACGGCAGCACAGAAGAGCUUGCUCUUUGGGUGGCGAGUGGCGGACGGGUGAGUAAUGUCUGGGAAACUGCCCGAUGGAGGGGGAUAACUACUGGAAACGGUAGCUAAUACCGCAUAACGUCGCGAGACCAAAGUGGGGGACCUUCGGGCCUCACACCAUCGGAUGUGCCCAGAUGGGAUUAGCUAGUAGGUGGGGUAAUGGCUCACCUAGGCGACGAUCCCUAGCUGGUCUGAGAGGAUGACCAGCCACACUGGAACUGAGACACGGUCCAGACUCCUACGGGAGGCAGCAGUGGGGAAUAUUGCACAAUGGGCGCAAGCCUGAUGCAGCCAUGCCGCGUGUAUGAAGAAGGCCUUCGGGUUGUAAAGUACUCUCAGCGGGGAGGAAGGCGGUGAGGUUAAUAACCUCGCCGAUUGACGUUACCCGCAGAAGAAGCACCGGCUAACUCCGUGCCAGCCGCCGCAGUAA
rnacentral:rRNA from 1 species